rnacentral:rRNA from 1 species
AAUGAACGUUGGCGGCGUGGAUUAGGCAUGCAAGUCGUGCGGAAAGGCCCCGCAAGGGGUACUCGAGCGGCGAAAGGGAUAGUAACACGUGGAUUACCUACCUCCAGGACGGGGAUAGCUGCGGGAAACUGCAAUUAAUACCCGAUGACGUCUUCGGACCAAAGGUGUGAUUCCGCCUGGAGACGGGCCCGCGUCCUAUUAGCUAGUUGGCAGGGUAACGGCCUACCAAGGCUCAGAUGGGUAGCGGGUGUGAGAGCACGACCCGCAUCACUGGGACUGAGAAACUGCCCAGACACCUACGGGUGGCUGCAGUCGAGGAUCGUCGGCAAUGGGCGAAAGCCUGACCGAGCGACGCCGCGUGCGGGAUGAAGGCCUUCGGGUUGUAAACCGCUGUCAGUGGGGAGGAAAUACUAGGGGGAACACCCUCUAGUUUGACCUACCCGCAGAGGAAGGACGGGCUAAGUUCGUGCCAGCAGCCGCAGUAAUAC